UACGUAGGGUGCAAGCGUUAAUCGGAAUUACUGGGCGUAAAGCGUGCGCAGGCGGUGAUGUAAGACAGAUGUGAAAUCCCCGGGCUCAACCUGGGAACUGCAUUUGGGACUGCAUCGCUGGAGUACGGCAGAGGGGGAUGGAAUUCCGCGUGUAGCAGUGAAAUGCGUAGAUAUGCGGAGGAACACCGAUGGCGAAGGCAAUCCCCUGGGCCUGUACUGACGCUCAUGCACGAAAGCGUGGGGAGCAAACAGG
rnacentral:rRNA from 1 species